GCCGAGCACUUCAACCACUACCUUCGUAUUGGUAGGAUUCCGGACUCAUGGAAGGAAGCGAAAACAGUUCUAAUCUUCAACAAGGUCAGCAAAAGGAUAUCAACAACUAUCGACCCAGCAGUCUUCUCUCGGUUGUGCACAAGAUCUUCACCAAGAUAUUGCUUGACAACAUCGUGCCCUGAAAAUGGAUGGCGCUUGAGCGAGAGACAUAUACCCAACCGUUGCUGGCUUGUGCCUUGUCUAGCGCCUGGCCGCAACGAGUAGGAGGGUCGUGGCGGUUGCGUCGAAGGCUUUGGGCGUAGGCCCAGCUGGAGCUUCCGUCAGUGCAGAUCUCGGUGGUAGUAGCAAAUAUUUAAGUUCGAUCCUUGAAGACUGAAGUGGAGAAGGGUUCCACGUGAACAGUAGUUGAAUG
rnacentral:ncRNA from 1 species